rnacentral:rRNA from 1 species
CCUACGGGGGGCAGCAGUGGGGAAUAUUGCACAAUGGGGGAAACCCUGAUGCAGCGACGCCGCGUGAAGGAAGAAGUAUUUCGGUAUGUAAACUUCUAUCAGCAGGGAAGAAAAUGACGGUACCUGACUAAGAAGCCCCGGCUAACUACGUGCCAGCCGCCGCGGUAAUACGUAGGGGGCAAGCGUUAUCCGGAUUUACUGGGUGUAAAGGGAGCGUAGGCGGUGAUGCAAGUCAGAAGUGAAAGCCCGCAGCUCAACUGCGGGACUGCUUUUGAAACUGUAUGACUAGAUUGCAGGAGAGGUAAGUGGAAUUCCUAGUGUAGCGGUAAAAUGCGUAGAUAGAUGGAAGAACACCAGUGGCGAAGGCGGCCGCCUGGCCUGUUGCUGACGCUGAGGCACGAAAGCGUGGGGAGCAAAUAGGAUUAGAUACCCUGGUAGUC